rnacentral:rRNA from 1 species
GAUGAACGCUGGCGGCGUGCCUAAUACAUGCAAGUCGAGCGAACGGACGAGAAGCUUGCUUCUCUGAUGUUAGCGGCGGACGGGUGAGUAACACGUGGAUAACCUACCUAUAAGACUGGGAUAACUUCGGGAAACCGGAGCUAAUACCGGAUAAUAUUUUGAACCGCAUGGUUCAAAAGUGAAAGACGGUCUUGCUGUCACUUAUAGAUGGAUCCGCGCUGCAUUAGCUAGUUGGUAAGGUAACGGCUUACCAAGGCAACGAUGCAUAGCCGACCUGAGAGGGUGAUCGGCCACACUGGAACUGAGACACGGUCCAGACUCCUACGGGAGGCAGCAGUAGGGAAUCUUACGCAAUGGGCGGAAGCCUGACGGAGCAACGCCGCGUGAGUGAUGAAGGUCUUCGGAUCGUAAAAAUCUGUUAUUAGGGAAGAACAUAUGUGUAAGUAACUGUGCACAUCUUGACGGUACCUAAUAAGAAAGCCACGGCUAACUACGUG